ncrna:unclassified sequences type-P1 twister ribozyme
GCCUUAAUGCAGCCGCCCGGAUGGGCGCGGGUCUCAAGCCCCGGCAAAUGCAGAGAGAGGA